GACGAACGCUGGCGGCGUGCCUAACACAUGCAAGUCGAGCGAGUGAAUCUCCUUCGGGAGUGAAGCUAGCGGCGGACGGGUGAGUAACACGUGGGCAACCUGCCUCAUAGAGGGGAAUAGCCUUCCGAAAGGGAGAUUAAUACCGCAUAAGAUUGUAGCUUCGCAUGAAGUAGCAAUUAAAGGAGCAAUCCGCUAUGAGAUGGGCCCGCGGCGCAUUAGCUAGUUGGUGAGGUAAUGGCUCACCAAGGCGACGAUGCGUAGCCGACCUGAGAGGGUGAUCGGCCACAUUGGGACUGAGACACGGCCCAGACUCCUACGGGAGGCAGCAGUGGGGAAUAUUGCACAAUGGGGAAACCCUGAUGCAGCAACGCCGCGUGAGUGAUGACGGCCUUGGUUCGUAAGGACUACUGUCUUCUAGGGACGGAUAAUAGACGGUACCUAGUAGGAGGAAGGACCGACGGCCGUAACUACCGUGCCACGCAGCCGACC
rnacentral:rRNA from 1 species